rnacentral:sRNA from 1 species
UUGACCUCGGAUCAGGUAGGAAGACCCGCUGAACUUAAGCAUAUCAAUAAGCGGAGGAAAAGAAACCAACAGGGAUUGCCCUAGUAACGGCGAGUGAAGCGGCAACAGCUCAAAUUUGAAAUCUGGCUUCGGCCCGAGUUGUAAUUUGCAGAGGAAGCUUUAGGCGCGGCACCAUCUGAGUCCCCUGGAACGGGGCGCCAUAGAGGGUGAGAGCCCCGUAUAGUUGGACGCCUAGCCUGUGUAAAGCUCCUUCGACGAGUCGAGUAGUUUGGGAAUGCUGCUCAAAAUGGGAGGUAAAUUUCUUCUAAAGCUAAAUACCGGCCAGAGACCGAUAGCGCACAAGUAGAGUGAUCGAAAGAUGAAAAGCACUUUGAAAAGAGGGUUAAAUAGCACGUGAAAUUGUUGAAAGGGAAGCGCUUGUGACCAGACUUGCGCCGGGCGGAUCAUCCGGUGUUCUCACCGGUGCACUCCGCCCGGCUCAGGCCAGCAUCGGUUCUCGCGGGGGGAUAAAGGCCCUGGGAACGUAGCUCCUCCGGGAGUGUUAUAGCCCAGGGCGUAAUGCCCUCGCGGGGACCGAGGACCGCGCAUCUGCAAGGAUGCUGGCGUAAUGGUCAUCAGCGACCCGUCUUGAAACACGGACCAAGGAGUCAAGGUUUUGCGCGAGUGUUUGGGUGUAAAACCCGCACGCGUAAUGAAAGUGAACGUAGGUGAGAGCUUCGGCGCAUCAUCGACCGAUCCUGAUGUUUUCGGAUGGAUUUGAGUAGGAGCGUUAAGCCUUGGACCCGAAAGAUGGUGAACUAUGCUUGGAUAGGGUGAAGCCAGAGGAAACUCUGGUGGAGGCUCGCAGCGGUUCUGACGUGCAAAUCGAUCGUCAAAUCUGAGCAUGGGGGCGAAAGACUAAUCGAACCAUCUAGUAGCUGGUUACCGCCGAAGUUUCCCUCAGGAUAGCAGUGUUGUUCUUCAGUUUUAUGAGGUAAAGCGAAUGAUUAGGGACUCGGGGGCGCUUUUUAGCCUUCAUCCAUUCUCAAACUUUAAAUAUGUAAGAAGCCCUUGUUACUUAAUGAACGUGGG